rnacentral:ncRNA from 1 species
CUCUUUGCCGAUUGAAAAGGGAAUCCGGUGAAAGACCGGAACUGUACCUUCAGCUGUAAGUUCUUAUAAAUAAGGUGGUAACACUCUUGAGUCACUCCUUAACGAGUUAUCAGAAGGGGGAAGACGUUACAACCGGAACAAGUCAGAAGACCUGCCAAUGUAUU